rnacentral:rRNA from 1 species
UACAGAGGGUGCGAGCGUUAAUCGGAGUUACUGGGCGUAAAGGGCGCGUAGGCGGUUGUGUGAGUGUGAUGUGAAAGCCCUGGGCUUAACCUAGGAAGUGCAUCGCAAACGACAUAACUGGAGUAUAAGAGAGGGUGGCGGAAUUUCUGGUGUAGCGGUGAAAUGCGUAGAGAUCGGAAGGAACGUCAAUGGCGAAGGCAGCCACCUGGCUUAAUACUGACGCUGAGGCGCGAAAGCGUGGGGAGCGAACAGG